rnacentral:rRNA from 1 species
GACGAACGCUGGCGGCGUGCUUAACACAUGCAAGUAGAACGGAAAGGCGCUGCUUUUGCGGGGUGCUCGAGUGGCGAAAAGGUGAGUAUAACGCGAGUAACAUGUCCCUGACAUUGGGAUAACUCUAGGAAAAAGGGGAUAAUACCGGAUAGGAGCUCCUGUAGCAUGGUGGGGGUUGGUAAGAUUCGGCGGUUGGGGACGGACUCGCGGCUCAUCAGCUUGUUGGUGGGGUAGUGGCUUACCAAGGCUUUGACGGGUAGCCGGCCUGAGAGGGUGACCGGCCACAUUGGGACUGAGAUACGGCCCAGACUCCUACGGGAGGCAGCAGUGGGGAAUAUUGCACAAUGGGCGGAAGCCUGAUGCAGCAACGCCGCGUGCGGGAUGACGGCCUUCGGGUGGUAAACCGCUUUCGCCUGUGACGAAGCGUGAGUGACGGUAAUGGGUAAAGAAGCACCGGCUAACUACGU